AACGAACGCUGGCGGCGUGGAUAAGACAUGCAAGUCGAGCGCUGGCUGCGGGGUAGCAAUAUUCCGCAGUUGGAGCGGCGCAAGGGUGCGUAACACGUGGGCAAUCUGCCGUGAAGUUCGGGAUAACUUGCUGAAAGGCGAGCUAAUACCGGAUGUGACCGUUGGGGGGCAUCUCCCGGCGGUUGAAGUUGGGGACCGCAAGGCCUGACGCUUCACGAUGAGCCCGCGGCCUAUCAGCUAGUUGGUGAGGUAACGGCCCACCAAGGCUAAGACGGGUAGCUGGUCUGAGAGGACGACCAGCCACACUGGAACUGAGACACGGUCCAGACACCUACGGGUGGCAGCAGUCGAGAAUUUUUCACAAUGGGCGCAAGCCUGAUGGAGCGACGCCGCGUGGGGGAUGAAUGGCUUCGGCCCGUAAACCCCUGUCAUUCGCGAUCAACCCUUGCUAUUUAAAAGAUGGCAAGCUGAUAGUAGCGGAAGAGGAAGGGACGGCUAACUCUGUGCCAGCAGCCGCGGUAAUACAGAGGUCCCAAGCGUUGUUCGGAUUCACUGGGCGUAAAGGGUGCGUAGGUGGUGGGGUAAGUCGGAUGUGAAAGCUCGGAGCUCAACUCCGAAAUGGCAUUGGAAACUACCCUGCUCGAGGGUCGGAGGGGGGACUGGAAUUCUCGGUGUAGCAGUGAAAUGCGUAGAUAUCGAGAGGAACACCAGUGGCGAAGGCGAGUCCCUGGACGACUCCUGACACUGAGGCACGAAAGCUAGGGGAGCAAACAGGAUUAGAUACCCUGGUAGUCCUAGCCGUAAACGGUGCACGUUUGCUGUAAAAGGAAUCGACCCCUUUUGUGGCGGAGCCAACGCGUUAAACGUGCCGCCUGGGAAAUACGGUC
rnacentral:rRNA from 1 species